rnacentral:rRNA from 11 species
UCUGUAGGCCCAAAUACCCUGAAGGCAUCAGUUCCUAUCAGAUCUUGGAAGCCAAGUAGGUUUAGUUCUGGUUAGUGCAUGGAUGAAAGGCUAUCAAAGAAUACCAGAUGCUGUUGGCU